CGACGGGGAGGUUUGGCACCGCGAUGUCGGCUCAUCACAUCCUGGGGCUGUAGUAGGUCCCAAGGGUUGGGCUGUUCGCCCAUUAAAGUGGUACGCGAGCUGGGUUCAGAACGUCGGGAGACAGUUCGGUCCCUAUCCGUCGCAGGCGUAGGAAAUUUGAGAAGACCUGUCCUUAGUACGAGAGGACCGGGAUGGACGUACCUCUGGUGUACCAGUUGUCCUGCCAAGGGCAUGGCUGGGUAGC
rnacentral:rRNA from 1 species